rnacentral:tRNA from 2 species
GGGGACGUAGCUCAGUUGGUAGAGCGACGCGUUCGCAAUGCGUAGGUCGAGGGUUCGACUCCCUUCGUCUCCACCA